rnacentral:rRNA from 1 species
GCCCUUUUCCGGUUGAUCCUGCCGGAGGCCAUUGCUAUUGGGAUCCGAUUUAGCCAUGCUAGUUGUACGAGUUCAGACUCGUAGCGAAUAGCUCAGUAACACGUGGCCAAACUACCCUUCGGAGCGCGAUAACCUCGGGAAACUGAGGCUAAUAGCGCAUCCCACACUCAGCCUGGAAUGGCGAGUGUGGCAAACGCUCCGGCGCCGAAGGAUGUGGCUGCGGCCGAUUAGGUAGACGGUGGGGUAACGGCCCACCGUGCCGAUAAUCGGUACGGGUCAUGAGAGUGAGAACCCGGAGACGGAAUCUGAGACAAGAUUCCGGGCCCUACGGGGCGCAGCAGGCGCGAAACCUUUACACUGCACGCCAGUGCGAUAAGGGGAUCCCAAGUGCACAGGCAUAGAGCCUGUGCUUUUGUCCACCGUAGGGAGGUGGACGAAUAAGGGCUGGGCAAGACCGGUGCCAGCCGCCGCGGUAAUACCGGCAGCCCAAGUGAUGGCCGAUCUUAUUGGGCCUAAAGCGUCCGUAGCUGGCCGCGCAAGUCCAUCGGGAAAUCUCCCCGCUCAACGGGGAGCCGCCCGGUGGAAACUGCGUGGCUUGGGACCGGAAGGCGCGACGGGUACGUCCGGGGUAGGAGUGAAAUCCCGUAAUCCUGGACGGACCGCCGAUGGCGAAAGCACGUCGCGAGAACGGAUCCGACAGUGAGGGACGAAAGCCAGGGUCUCGAACCGGAUUAGAUACCCGGGUAGUCCUGGCCGU